CCAGCAGGCCACCUUAUCGCUCCGAUAGCUAUUGGGGAGGAAAGUCCGGACACCAUAGUGCGGCAUAGCGGGUAACGCCCGUCCGCCGAAAGGCGAGGACAAGUGCAACAGAAAGGAUGUACAGUUCGGCUGUAGUGAAAUCAGGUAAACUCUAUGCGGUGAAACGUCACGUAAACCAGCGUUUUGAGGGCUGCACGCCCAAGCUGGAGGGUAGGCGGUUAGAGCUUUUGGGCAACCAAAAGUCUAGAUAAAUGAUAAGGCUCGACAGAAUCCGGCUUAUGGCCUGCUUUUUAU
rnacentral:RNase_P_RNA from 1 species